CGUAGGAGUGAGCCGACUGUUGAAGGGUCCAAUUCAUCAAACAUAUUACAGUCCUAUCUCAGUCAAAGUUUCCAAUGAGCAUGUGAAAGUGCCUGUUCUAUGUAUGAAGCCUUACUACCUUGAUGCUUGGUGCCUCAGUCCUCACUAUGUUCACCACAAGACAAGUAACAAUCGCCUUUUAAACAACGGCCAUCCUUCACACUCGUGGAGACGCACCAAAGCUCUCUGUGGUCAAUUCCCUGCUUAAGAUCUGUGUUAAGCACUUUUGAGUCUUGUACAUAUCACCGCGACCUGUCCUGUUUUAUCUAUCUCCUUAGUAACUGCUUGUAUCCAUUGUAAAUACUCAUUCACUCACGCCACAGACUAUUACCGCUGCAAUACUAAGUUUUCUCAAGUUUAUGUC